UGCCAGACUCCUACGGGAGGCAGCAGUGGGGGAUAUUGCACAAUGGGGGCAACCCUGAUGCAGCGACGCCGCGUGAGCGAUGGAGUACUUCGGUAUGUAAAGCUCUGUCAGCAGGGAAGAGAAUGACGGUACCUGACCAAGAAGCCCCGGCUAAAUACGUGCCAGCAGCCGCGGUAAUACGUAGGGGGCAAGCGUUAUCCGGAUUUACUGGGUGUAAAGGGAGCGUAGACGGUUAUGUAAGUCUGGAGUGAAAGCCCGGGGCCCAACCCCGGGACUGCUUUGGAAACUGUGUAACUAGAGUACAGGAGGGGCAGGCGGAAUUCCUGGUGUAGCGGUGAAAUGCGUAGAUAUCAGGAGGAACACCGGCGGCGAAGGCGGCCUGCUGGACUGAAACUGACGUUGAGGCUCGAAAGCGUGGGGAGCAAACAGGAUUAGAUACCCUUGUAGA
rnacentral:rRNA from 1 species